CCUACGGGUGGCAGCAGUGAGGAAUAUUCCUCAAUGGACGAGAGUCUGAACCAGCAACGUAGCGUGAAGGAUGACUGCCCUCUGGGUUGUAAACUUCUUUUAUAUGGGAAUAAAAUGUUCCACGUGUGGGAUUUUGUAUGUACCAUAUGAAUACGGAUCGGCUAACUCAGUGCCAGCCGCCGCGGUAAUACGGUGGAUCCGAGCGUUAUCCGGAUUUAUUGGGUUUAAGGGGAGCGUAGGUGGAUUGUUAAGUCAGUUGUGAAAGUUUGCGGCUCAACCGUAAAAUUGCAGUUGAAACUGGCAGGCGUGAGUACAGUAGAGGUGGGCGGAAUUCGUGGUGUAGCGGUGAAAUGCUUAGAUAUCACGAAGAACACCGAUGGCGAAGGCAGCUCACUGUACUGCAACUGACACUGAGGCUCGAAAGUGUGGGUAUCAAACAGGAUUAGAUACCCCUGUAGUC
rnacentral:rRNA from 1 species